AGUGAACGCUGGCGGUAGGCCUAACACAUGCCAGUCGAACGGCAGCACAGUAAGAGCUUGCUCUUACGGGUGGCGAGUGGCGGACGGGUGAGGCAUACAUCGGAAUCUACUUUUUCGUGGGGGAUAACGUAGGGAAACUUACGCUAAUACCGCAUACGACCUACGGGUGAAAGCAGGGGAUCUUCGGACCUUGCGCGUUUGAAUGAGCCGAUGUCGGAUUAGCUAGUUGGCGGGGUAAAGGCCCACCAAGGCGACGAUCCGUAGCUGGUCUGAGAGGAUGAUCAGCCACACUGGAACUGAGACACGGUCCAGACUCCUACGGGAGGCAGCAGUGGGGAAUAUUGGACAAUGGGCGCAAGCCUGAUCCAGCCAUACCGCGUGGGUGGAGAAGGCCUUCGGGUUGUAAAGCCCUUUUGUUGGGAAAGAAAAGCAGCAGGUUAAUACCCCGCUGUUCUGACGGUACCCAAAGAAUAAGCACCGGCUAACUUCGUG
rnacentral:rRNA from 1 species